CUCACUUCUGCCAUCUUUUGAAAAGGUUGUUUUCAUGGUCAUUAAUUUUUCAAGCAUGUUUUACUCGGUCUAAGAGAACCGAAGUGGAAAUCAUGUCAAAUACAAGUCCAGUUGAAUAACCCAAUGUCUGUCUCAUACCCACUAAAUCUUAGCAAACAAGUGUCUCAUAUGGAUCUUAGGAAGUAGUAUAUUGAAAAAGCCUUGAAUAAACCUAGUUCUGCAUUUUAUAUUCACUGCUCUAUUUCUAGUUCCCAGGACAUGAACAACACCAAGAAUAAACAUCAUAGAAUGAUGGAAGGGAGAAACUAGAAACUUGCCUUGUUUGGCCAAAGUCUGGCAUUAACAGAUGAGCAUGCAGAUGGGAGCCCACAGGAGGAAGCAUACAUUCUUGGGGAACACACAUAUUGUGGAGAACUUACUAAAGGAGACAUAAACGGAAAUUGUGGAAGGAUCUUUCCCUUAUGGGUUCUAGAAUUUCUUCAUUAAUGGGGAAUGGAGGAGAGGAACACUUUGAAAAGGGUGCAUGAAGUGGGAGUCAGCAAAUAAGAAGUGGUACAAAGUUCUGUUAUUACUGGUCAGUACAUUUUA
rnacentral:lncRNA from 1 species